AUUGAACGCUGGCGGCAGGCCUAACACAUGCAAGUCGAGCGGAUGAGUGGAGCUUGCUCCAUGAUUCAGCGGCGGACGGGUGAGUAAUGCCUAGGAAUCUGCCUGGUAGUGGGGGACAACGUUUCGAAAGGAACGCUAAUACCGCAUACGUCCUACGGGAGAAAGCAGGGGACCUUCGGGCCUUGCGCUAUCAGAUGAGCCUAGGUCGGAUUAGCUAGUUGGUGAGGUAAAGGCUCACCAAGGCGACGAUCCGUAACUGGUCUGAGAGGAUGAUCAGGCACACUGGAACUGAGACACGGUCCAGACUCCUACGGGAGGCAGCAGUGGGGAAUAUUGGACAAUGGGCGAAAGCCUGAUCCAGCCAUGCCGCGCGUGUGAAGAAGGUCUUCAGAUUGUAAAGCACUUUAAGUUGGGAAGAAGGGCAGUAAGUUAAUACCUUGCUGUUUUGACGUUACCGACAGAAUAAGCACCGGCUAACUUCGUGCCAGCAGCCGCCGUAACAC
rnacentral:rRNA from 1 species